rnacentral:rRNA from 1 species
UACGUAGGGGGCAAGCGUUGUCCGGAAUUAUUGGGCGUAAAGAGCGUGUAGGCGGUCCGGUAAGUCAGCUGUGAAAGUCAAGGGCUCAACCCUUGAAAGCCGGUUGAUACUGUCGGGCUAGAGUCCGGAAGAGGCGAGUGGAAUUCCCGGUGUAGCGGUGAAAUGCGCAGAUAUCGGGAGGAACACCAAUGGCGAAGGCAGCUCGCUGGGACGGUACUGACGCUGAGGCACGAAGGCCAGGGGAGCAAACGGG